AAUCUAUAGAAACGUUUUCCGUGCCGGACCGUGUCCAAGUCCCUUGGAACAGGGUAUCAAAGAGGGUGACAAUCCCGUACUUGACACGACUACCGGUGCUCUGUGAUACGUUUUCUACGAGUCGAGUUGUUGGGGAAUGCAGCUCAAAUGGGUGGUGAGUUCCAUCUAAGCUAAAUAUUGGCGAGAGACCGAUAGCGAACAAGUACCGUGAGGGAAAGAUGAAAAGCACUUUGGAAAGAGAGUUAAACAGUACGUGAAAUUGUUGAAAGGGAAACGAUUGAAGUCAGUCGUGACCGAAGGCUCACCGGCUCUGCCGGGUGUAUUCCCCUCGGUCGGGUCAACAUCAGUUUUGAAGGGCGUUAGGAAGGUAGCUCCCACGGGAGUGUUAUAGCCUGACGUCGCAUACACUGGGUGAGUGAACCGUUGACCUCCGGGUCUA
rnacentral:rRNA from 1 species